ensembl:lncRNA
AAAGAAGUUAAAACCAUUGGACUGCUUCAAAAGGUUCCCUUGCUAAUGUAGGACUUACUAUGACCUUCAAGAACAUUAAUUUGUAUACCUCAACUAAUUGGCUUUCAAGGUGUGAUUAAAAGAAGUUCGUAGGUAUUGUUAAUGGAACAGCUGCAAGGAUGUAAGCUGGAGAAUUUUGACACAUUUCUUUCUCAAUUCUUAUGCUUAAAAAGAGGCGAAUUACUGCUAUUAUUAUCUGAGAUGCAAAAAGGAGGAAUAACAGAACAUUUUUUCAGUGGUUUCAUCCCUUUACCAAAAUUUCCAGUUUUAGCUUUCUCAUUCUUGACAGUCACUGCCUUCCUCUCCAGAGUCUUCCUCUCCAGAGUGUGACUUUUUCCACUAAAUCAUACAUUGUUUCAGAAAAAAGCAUUGCAUCAGAAAAACCAUAUCUGCCAUAUGUUAAAAUUCCCUUUAGGACAUGAAAGCUAUCACUGCUUUCACUUUUACCUCAAUAGAUGGAGUAUAUUUAAAUUUGACUCUGCUCUAGAUCAUCAUGAGUGAUAAAGAGACCUUUAUAUAGCUGUGGCUAACUUAACAUUGUGUUGAAAUUGCAUAGGAAAUUGCAUAGCCUCCAUAAUUCUCUGAAGAGCAAUGCCUGGAGCCUCCCAGGGCUGGGAUGCAGUGGUUGAGUAAUGAAUGAGGAGAAAGGUUUUGGAGCUCAUCUGCACUCGGAUCUGCCCGUGACUUAGGGGGAGCUCCAGGGUGUUGCAGGAAUAGGGCAAGAGUAUUGAAGACCCAACUCCUGCGUGCAGGGCAAAACUUUGUUCAUGGUAUCUGCAGCAUUAAGUUUGACAAAUAGUGAUCUUGGUCUGUGUGUUAAUGGGAGAGGUGUUUAGACUGCAGGUGCAGAGGUGCUAGACUUUGUUAAGUGUGUCAAAGCCACAGCCUCCAACGUAUGCACCACUGCUGUAGGGAGUGAAGUAGCACUUGAGUUGCAGAAUGACGUGUAGUGGAUAUGUCAGGAAGCCUGUGAGUACUAACACCUUUGUACCUAAGCUGGUUCACUAGGACUGGUUUCCCCCAGUGCACGCAUUGUGCAUGUAGAUGUCUUUUAAAAGUAAAGUUGAACUCAGUUUCAAGCAGUGACUCAAGGAGAGCUGAAGCAUUUAUUUUUUAAAAAAACAUAUUCUGGAUAUUAUGGGUAUCAUGUGAUAACCAAAUAAAGAGGUGAAAGCUUUGACUACAGUAUGAAAUAACAAAAUGUACUUGCCUACUCCUUCUGCACAGUAAGGUUUAAGCAAAAAGGCUCUCCUUGGCUGAGACCCAGGGUAUGUUGUGUGAUCAGAAGAAAGUGUCAGUGAUUGCAGUUCAAGCAAGCUGAGGCUUCCAUGCUGGUUGCUAUGGUUUCUAGAAGUGGCUGUAGGCUGAAGAAGUGCAUGAACAUGUGUGUGCAUGUUUAGGUUUCAAAAAAAAAGAAUUACUAGUGUCCCACAAAAUUAAAUUGAAGGUUUCUUCUCCAUGCCAUCAGAUGCAGAAUAGUAACAGAGCAUCAUUUUUUGUCGGGUCUCUCUGAAUACCAGAUGGCAGCAGAUUGCAGUCUGACAAGUGGCGUCUGACGUGAAAGUGAGGAUGAAGCAAAGGUGUAUCACUGAAUCCCUCCAUGUGGAAAGAAAGGCAUCCACUGACAUUCACCAA